rnacentral:rRNA from 1 species
CAAUAGCGUAUAUUAAAGUUGUUGCGGUUAAAAAGCUCGUAGUUGGAGUUCUGCCAGGUGCCGCCUGUCCGCCCCAGUGGUGAGUACGUGGCGCGCAUUUGGCCCUUUCAAGGGGAGCGUAUCUGCACUUUAUUGUGUGGUGCGGGAUCCUUGACUUUUACUUUGAGGAAAUAGGAGUGUUCCAAGCAGGCUCUCGUCGUGCACAGCUCAGCAUGGAAUAAUAGCAUUGGACCUCGAUUCUAAGCUGUUGGUUGCCAGAAGCGAGGUAAUGAUGAAGAGGGAUAGUUGGGGGCAUUCGUAUUUAACUGUCAGAGGUGAAAAUCUUGGAUUUGUUAAAGACGGACUACUGCGAAAGCAUCUGCCAUGGAUGUUUUCAUUGA